GAGAAACCUCAAGAGGUAAUCAGACACCACUGUACAUCCAGGCCAACUUGGUCCUGGCAACUGGGUCUAGCUCAUCCGGCGGCAGGAGUGACAGCAGACCCAGUGUGACGAGAAAUAGCGGAGUGGUUUAGGGGACAUUCACACCUCCUUCCCCCAUCUGGAUUCAAUGUAAAAAUAAUCCCAGUGGCUUUGCUGAAACCGCGGAGGAGGCUCCACUGGUUUUGUCUGUGAAAUCACACCCAACCUGAGGCUACUCCAUGGCUUCAGGGCCAGGGAGAAGGACUCUCAGAAAUCCCAGGAGUGCCGCCAAGGAGCAAACUCCCAGCUGCAAGCAGAGAGAAGCUCAGAGCUAGCCCUGAGGAAAUAUGGGCAUGAACUGAACCAGAAACUGGUGAAUCAGGAUGGACUGUUCUGCAACAGGUAGGAGUCAAGCUGGGUCUCCACAUUGAACUGCUGUCCUGCCUCCAGAGAGAAGGCAAGUCCCAUAGCAGUACCUCCACUUCAAACCAUGACAAUUUGAAAGACUAACCCCCAAGCUGGACCUUGAGCCACACUGCCAGAGCAGGGAGGCCUGAGAGUAAAGGGCACACAGCCAACCAGGCAUUCACCGAUUCUGUGGUCUAGCAGCUGUGGCUCCGAAUCAGCCGUGUCAGAUCUA